rnacentral:rRNA from 1 species
UACGUAGGGGCAAGCGUUGUUCGGAAUCAUUGGGCGUAAAGGGCGCGUAGGUGGUUUGUAUGUCUGCCGUGAAAGGGUACAGCUUAACUGUAGCUUGUCGGUAGAAACUGCAGGACUUGAGGCUGGGAGGGCUGGUGGAAUUCCUGUGUAGCGGUGAAAUGGCGUAGAGAUGGGGAGACACUCGUGGCGAAGGCGGCCAGCUAGACCAGUUCUGACACUGAGGCGCGACAGCGUGGGGAGCAAACAGG